rnacentral:rRNA from 1 species
AUUGAACGCUGGCGGCAGGCCUAACACAUGCAAGUCGAACGAGUGGCGGACGGGGGAGGAAUGUCUGGGAAACUGCCCGAUGGAGGGGGAUAACUACUGGAAACGGUAGCUAAGACCGCAAACCAUCGGAGGUGCCCAGAUGGGAUUAGCUAGUAGGGGGGGUAACGGCUCACCUAGGCGACGAACCCUAGCUGGUCUGAGAGGAUGACCAGCCACACUGGAACUGAGACACGGUCCAGACUCCUACGGGAGGCAGCAGUGGGGAAUAUUGCACAAUGGGCGCAAGCCUGAUGCAGCCAUGCCGCGUGUAUGAAGAAGGCCUUCGGGUUGUAAAGUACUUUCAGCGGGGAGGCGUUACCCGCAGAUUCCGCACCGGCUAACUCCGUGCCAGCAGCCGCGGUCCUUC